GAUGAACGCUGGCGGCGUGCCUAAUACAUGCAAGUCGAGCGAACGGACGAGAAGCUUGCUUCUCUGAUGUUAGCGGCGGACGGGUGAGUAACACGUGGAUAACCUACCUAUAAGACUGGGAUAACUUCGGGAAACCGGAGCUAAUACCGGAUAAUAUUUUGAACCGCAUGGUUCAAAAGUGAAAGACGGUCUUGCUGUCACUUAUAGAUGGAUCCGCGCUGCAUUAGCUAGUUGGUAAGGUAACGGCUUACCAAGGCAACGAUGCAUAGCCGACCUGAGAGGGUGAUCGGCCACACUGGAACUGAGACACGGUCCAGACUCCUACGGGAGGCAGCAGUAGGGAAUCUUCCGCAAAGGGCGAAAGCAUGACGGAGCAACGCCGCGUGAGUGAUGAAGGUCUUCGGAUCGUAAAACUCUGUUAUUAGGGAAGAACAUAUGUGUAAGUAACUGUGCACAUCUUGACGGUACCUAAUCAGAAAGCCACGGCUAACUACGUG
rnacentral:rRNA from 1 species